CAGGAUUCCCCUAGUAACUGCGAGUGAAGCGGGAAAAGCUCAAAUUUAAAAUCUGGCAGUCUUUGGCUGUCCGAGUUGUAAUCUAGAGAAGUAUUAUCCGCGCUGGACCGUGUACAAGUCUCCUGGAAUGGAGCGUCAUAGAGGGUGAGAAUCCCGUCUUUGACACGGACUGCCAGGGCUUUGUGAUGUGCUCUCAAAGAGUCGAGUUGUUUGGGAAUGCAGCUCAAAAUGGGUGGUAAAUUCCAUCUAAAGCUAAAUAUUGGCGAGAGACCGAUAGCGAACAAGUACCGUGAGGGAAAGAUGAAAAGAACUUUGGAAAGAGAGUUAAACAGUACGUGAAAUUGCUGAAAGGGAAACGCUUGAAGUCAGUCGCAUUGGCCAGGGAUCAACCUUGCUUUUUUGCUUGGCUUACUUUCUGGUUGAUGGGUCAGCAUCAAUUUUGACUGGUAGAAAAAGUUCAAGGGAAUGUGGCAUCUUCGGAUGUGUUAUAGCCUUUGUCCACAUAUAUCAGUUGGGAUUGAGGAACUCAGCACGCCGCAAGGCCGGGUUUUUAACCACGUACGUGCUUAGGAUGCUGGCAUAAUGGCUUUAAUCGACCCGUCUUGAAACACGGACCAAGGAGUCUAACAUGCCUGCGAGUGUUUGGGUGAAAAACCCGAGCGCGUAAUGAAAGUGAAAGUUGAGAUCCCUGUCAUGGGGAGCAUUGACGCCCGGAUCUGACCUUUUGUGACGAUUCUGCGGUAGAGCAUGUAUGUUGGGACCCGAAAGAUGGUGAACUAUGCCUGAAUAGGGUGAAGCCAGAGGAAACUCUGGUGGAGGCUCGUAGCGAUUCUGACGUGCAAAUCGAUCGUCAAAUUUGGGUAUAGGGGCGAAAGACUAAUC
rnacentral:rRNA from 1 species